rnacentral:rRNA from 1 species
GUAGGGGUAAAGUACCGCAGAGAUCAAGAGGAAUACUCAUUGCGAAGGCGACCUGCUGGAACACUACUGACGCUGAUGCGCGAAAGACGUGGGGAGGCAAACAGGAUUAGAUACCCUGGUAGUCCACGCCCUAAACGAUGAAUGCUAGUUGUUGGGGUGCUUGUCACUCCAGUAAUGCAGCUAACGCAUUAAGCAUUCCGCCUGGGGAGUACGGUCGCAAGAUUAAAACUCAAAGGAAUUGACGGGGACCCGCACAAGCGGUGGAUGAUGUGGAUUAAUUCGAUGCAGUCGACGCGGCC